UGUUUAUGUCAGCUGUGUAUUUUACAUUUUUACUCCGUCUCAGUUGAUAGAUAAAUAUAAAAUUGAUAUUAAAAUAUGAAAAUUAUUUGAGUAAGUGAGUUACCAUUAUAUUGCUUGACAGCAAUGUUACCAUACACCUCGGUCGCUGUAACUUAUAACUUAUAAGUUGAAAUAGUUAUACAAUAUAAACAUACAGGCUUCAAACCUUGUCUGGAACUUAUUCAUUUUUCAAACAAACAAAUUUAAGAAGUGGGCCAAAACACAAUAAUAUUGGAUUUUACAUACCUACGCAAAUGUAACGAUGCUAAAUCCAAAUGACGCCACUGCAACUAAAUACUAGGAUUCAGGAGUCAUGCCUUGAAGAUAGGUACUAACCUGAGCGCCGACGAUGCCGUUUCCACCAUAAAAGUUUUUACCAUACAUGUGCAUGGAACCACCUUUACCACGAGCUACCCCUCCAAUUCGACCGGUAAGUUCACACAGCACCUCCACAGGUUUUGCACCCAUCAAGUACGUCCAGCCGUGAACACGG